rnacentral:rRNA from 1 species
CGCGCAGGCGGCCAGGUAAGUCGAAUGUGAAAGCCCCCGGCUCAACUGGGGAGGGUCAUUCGAUACUGCUUGGCUUGAAGGUAGGAGAGGGAAGCGGAAUUUCAGGUGUAGUGGUGAAAUGCGUAGAUAUCUGAAGGAACACCAGUGGCGAAGGCGGCUUUCUGGCCUAUUCUUGACGCUGAGGCGCGAAAGCUAGGGGAAGCGAACG